rnacentral:rRNA from 1 species
UCAGGACGACGCUGGCGGCGUGCCUAAUACGUGCAAGUCGAACGGUCUUUCUAUGGAAGCUUGCUUCCACUGAGAAGAUAGUGGCGAACGGGUGAGGUAACACGUGGGUAACCUGCCCAUAAGAGGGGGAUAACAUCCGGAAACGGGUGCUAAUACCGCAUAGUUUUCUUGAUUGCAUGAUUGAGAAAGGAAAGACGGCCUUUGUGCUGUCGCUUAUGGAUGGACCCGCGGCGUAUUAGUUAGUUGGUGAGGUAACGGCUCACCAAGACGAUGAUACGUAGCCGACCUGAGAGGGUGAUCGGCCACAUUGGGACUGAGACACGGCCCAAACUCCUACGGGAGGCAGCAGUAGGGAAUCUUCCGCAAUGGACGAAAGUCUGACGGAGCAACGCCGCGUGAGUGAAGAAAAGGUUUUCGGAUCGUAAAACUCUGUUGUCAGAGAAGAACAAGUUGGAGAGUAACUGCUCCAGCCUUGACGGUAUCUGACCAGAAAGCCACGGCUAACUACGUGCCAGCCGCCGC